UUGAACGCUGGCGGCAGGCCUAACACAUGCAAGUCGAACGGUAACAGGAAGCAGCUUGCUGCUUUGCUGACGAGUGGCGGACGGGUGAGUAAUGUCUGGGAAACUGCCUGAUGGAGGGGGAUAACUACUGGAAACGGUAGCUAAUACCGCAUAACGUCGCAAGACCAAAGAGGGGGACCUUAGGGCCUCUUGCCAUCGGAUGUGCCCAGAUGGGAUUAGCUAGUAGGUGGGGUAAAGGCUCACCUAGGCGACGAUCCCUAGCUGGUCUGAGAGGAUGACCAGCCACACUGGAACUGAGACACGGUCCAGACUCCUACGGGAGGCAGCAGUGGGGAAUAUUGCACAAUGGGCGCAAGCCUGAUGCAGCCAUGCCGCGUGUAUGAAGAAGGCCUUCGGGUUGUAAAGUACUUUCAGCGGGGAGGAAGGGAGUAAAGUUAAUACCUUUGCUCAUUGACGUUACCCGCAGAAGAAGCACCGGCUAACUCCGUGCCAGCAGCCGCGGUAAUACGGAGGGUGCAAGCGUUAAUCGGAAUUACUGGGCGUAAAGCGCACGCAGGCGGUUUGUUAAGUCAGAUGUGAAAUCCCCGGGCUCAACCUGGGAACUGCAUCUGAUACUGGCAAGCUUGAGUCUCGUAGAGGGGGGUAGAAUUCCAGGUGUAGCGGUGAAAUGCGUAGAGAUCUGGAGGAAUACCGGUGGCGAAGGCGGCCCCCUGGACGAAGACUGACGCUCAGGUGCGAAAGCGUGGGGAGCAAACAGGAUUAGAUACCCUGGUAGUCCACGCCGUAAACGAUGUCGACUUGGAGGUUGUGCCCUUGAGGCGUGGCUUCCGGAGCUAACGCGUUAAGUCGACCGCCUGGGGAGUACGGCCGCAAGGUUAAAACUCAAAUGAAUUGACGGGGGCCCGCACAAGCGGUGGAGCAUGUGGUUUAAUUCGAUGCAACGCGAAGAACCUUACCUGGUCUUGACAUCCACGGAAGUUUUCAGAGAUGAGAAUGUGCCUUCGGGAACCGUGAGACAGGUGCUGCAUGGCUGUCGUCAGCUCGUGUUGUGAAAUGUUGGGUUAAGUCCCGCAACGAGCGCAACCCUUAUCCUUUGUUGCCAGCGGUCCGGCCGGGAACUCAAAGGAGACUGCCAGUGAUAAACUGUAGGAAGGUGGGGAUGACGUCAAGUCAUCAUGGCCCUUACGACCAGGGCUACACACGUGCUACAAUGGCGCAUACAAAGAGAAGCGACCUCGCGAGAGCAAGCGGACCUCAUAAAGUGCGUCGUAGUCCGGAUUGGAGUCUGCAACUCGACUCCAUGAAGUCGGAAUCGCUAGUAAUCGUGGAUCAGAAUGCCACGGUGAAUACGUUCCCGGGCCUUGUACACACCGCCCGUCACACCAUGGGAGUGGGUUGCAAAAGAAGUAGGUAGCUUAACCUUCGGGAGGGCGCUUACCACUUUGUGAUUCAUGACUGGGGUG
rnacentral:rRNA from 1 species